rnacentral:rRNA from 1 species
AUUGAACGCUGGCGGCAGGCCUAACACAUGCAAGUCGAGCGGAUGAAGGGAGCUUGCUCCUGGAUUCAGCGGCGGACGGGUGAGUAAUGCCUAGGAAUCUGCCUGGUAGUGGGGGAUAACGUCCGGAAACGGGCGCUAAUACCGCAUACGUCCUGAGGGAGAAAGUGGGGGAUCUUCGGACCUCACGCUAUCAGAUGAGCCUAGGUCGGAUUAGCUAGUUGGUGGGGUAAAGGCCUACCAAGGCGACAAUCCGUAACUGGUCUGAGAGGAUGAUCAGUCACACUGGAACUGAGACACGGUCCAGACUCCUACGGGAGGCAGCAGUGGGGAAUAUUGGACAAUGGGGGAAAGCCUGAUCCAGCCAUGCCGCGUGUGUGAAGAAGGUCUUCGGAUUGUAAAGCACUUUAAGUUGGGAGGAAGGGCAGUAAGUUAAUACCUUGCUGUUUUGACGUUACCAACAGAAUAAGCACCGGCUAACUUCGUG